UGUUGCUGAAAUCUGCAUAAUGACUGCUUCCACUGUAUAGGCUGAACUCCAACCUUGUUUCGUUAAGAGUUCCAUGCAAAUUGCACCUCCUAUAAGGACGUAACCACCAGAGAUCAUGGGAUGCACAACUCUGACAAAUGGGGGUUCGAAUGGAAGUAUGAGAUCGCUGUGUAAAGGUGAAUCAGGAUCAACACACAUCAGCCUGACAUUCCAUUCAUACAAACUGUCAUUUACUAAUUCUAUGCUGUACAUUCCUACAACAAAUUUAAGUAAAUACUUG
rnacentral:misc_RNA from 1 species